rnacentral:ncRNA from 1 species
CAUAGUAAGGAUUGACAGACUGAGAGCUCUUUCUUGAUUCUAUGGGUGGUGGUGCAUGGCCGUUCUUAGUUGGUAGAGCAAUUGGUCUUGUUAAUUCCGUUAACAAACGAGACCUCAGCCUGCUAAGUUGCUAUGCGGAGGUAUCCACUCGCGGUCCGCUUCAAACUCACCAAGGCACCAUGGCACAAAGGCACCAUGGCACCAAGGCACCGUGGCACCGUGGCGCCGU